UGCUUCUCUUUUUCUUUUUUCUUUUUAUAAAUUGUGGCCAUUCAGUAUUCACAGCGACGAGGAAAUUUGGUGCUUCCGCAAAGAAAG
rnacentral:ribozyme from 14 species